CUUUCAGAUACAAAGAAGAACAGAAGAAGAACAGUUAGAUGGAUGCAGAAACAUGGUAUCCUGAGGAGAACGAUGAAGUGCGCUAAAUGCAAUCGUUGCAUGCACCUGGUGACAUGUCACGUCAAGGAUGGGCUGUGGUGGUUUGCACAAGGUUUGCGGUUGAAGCAACUUGACAUGAUCACUGAGGGGAUAGCUGCAAGCUCCAGGACAUUAACAAGAAUGGCAAAAGUACUCAGAAAGGUUUGCAUCGCUGCCCUCAAGUGA
rnacentral:lncRNA from 1 species